AGGUACAUGGUGGCUGAAUUCCUUGUUCGGGGCACAUCUUUGAUCAAGUCUGAAUCUGAACUCAACAUUCUGGUUAUGCCCAAAUGGCCCUGAGAAAAGCAAGUUCUACAUGAUAUGUGAAAGUCCAAGCACCAUAGGAAUGAAAAAGAUCCUACAGCCUCAGGUAGGAAGCGACCAGGAAAGGAAGGCGGCCAGCAGGGGAGACGACUGACCUUCGCAGCCAUCCUGCCGCCCAUGCACUAUUCACUCGCCCGCCGGGCGGGAUCCCUAGGUGUGUUCCGAAGCUGCCCGGGGGCUUGCGGGAGCAGAGGCUGCCGUGCGCCCGCGCGGGGUGGACUGCAGCAGGCAGCCCCAGCGUCUGCAGAGGGGACGUGAGGACAUCUGGCCCGUGUCCCUGCGAGCAGGGCUCCGCCGCAGGCCUUUGAAAAUCCUCCGCACCGGCCCCCAGCGCCUUGGAACUUUCUCCCCGGAGAAUUUAGAAGAGGCGGUGCCCUUGAUUUCUUGGCCAUCUAGGCCUCGGGCGCGUGCAGAGCGUUCCGCGAGCAUCGCGGUGCGGAAGGCGCUCGGUUCUCAGAGCCUGGAGCCCGCGGGGGUGAUACCCUGCUGCUCUCCAGCCCUCUGCUCCCUGGCUGUGCCUCUUGAAAAACAAGUGACUGUAUCUCUCCGGGCUUCUUUUUCUUCAUCUUUAAAAUAAACUCUUGGGCCAAAUGACUCUGAGGUUCUUUCCAGCUCUGAAUUCCUCGGGCAUUUUUAACCUGUUUAACUGAAAUGCUGAUUAAACUUGGACGGAUAGCAAGGAAAUAUUUUCCAAUCAGAGUAGAGACGUGACUAAUUUGCCACUCAGGUUUCUGAAGCUUAUGGUGGUCUAAGGAACACCC